rnacentral:rRNA from 1 species
AUUGAACGCUGGCGGCAUGCCUUACACAUGCAAAUCGAACGGUAACGGGCCUUCGGGUGCCGACGAGUGGCGGACGGGUGAGUAAUACAUCGGAACGUGCCCGAUCGUGGGGGAUAACGAGGCGAAAGCUUUGCUAAUACCGCAUACGAUCUACGGAUGAAAGCAGGGGACCGCAAGGCCUUGCGCGGACGGAGCGGCCGAUGGCAGAUUAGGUAGUUGGUGGGAUAAAAGCUUACCAAGCCGACGAUCUGUAGCUGGUCUGAGAGGAUGAUCAGCCACACUGGGACUGAGACACGGCCCAGACUCCUACGGGAGGCAGCAGUGGGGAAUUUUGGACAAUGGGCGCAAGCCUGAUCCAGCCAUGCCGCGUGCAGGAUGAAGGCCUUCGGGUUGUAAACUGAUUCUGUACGGAACGAAAAGCCUUCUUUUAAUACAGGAGGGUCAUGACGGUACCGUAAGAAUAAGCACCGGCUAACUACGUG